CUGCGAGGCUUCCCAGAUUUUUACGUGUGUGAACUGCAAACAGGUGCUGAAUUGACAGCGCUGCUUGUGUUGGAGUCUUGGGGCGAGUGACUUCUAACAAAAAAGAUGGCGGUCGUUUUGAAAUAUAAUCUCAUACCUUUUCAAAUUUUUAAGCAUUUGUGGUUAUACAAAUGUCGAGCGGAACACGGUUAUUUUCACGUGAAAAUUGCUCGCAAAGAACAAAAGACGAAGAGAAGAAUAGCGUUGGAAACUGCCGUACUACUAACGUACUUUGCUGGUUUGAUGUCGAGUUUGAUGUAUAUACUUGAAUAGAAAAGGAACAACAUUUGGAUCAUGCCGUUCAUUCAUGCGAAACAAUGGUUAGUGGAAACUUCAAACUACUUAUGUUGAACAACUUACAAUUACAGUGAUCCAUGAAGUAUUCCUGUUAAAUAGCAUUUUAAUAGCCUCUGAAGAAAAUUAUCAGCAUUUGCCCCUGAAGAAUUUCAAUUUUUUUACUUGAAUCUUGUUCAAAAUACCCAAUCCCCUGACUGGAAAGUUUGGAAAUUUCACGCCGGAGAUUUCGAAAAUUAAAUAGUAAAUAUAUAGAAAAUAUCAAAAUUGCGUGGCCGAUACUCGAUAUAAGCUCCGCCACGUGAUACAAAUUUUCCACACUGGCCAACCCCUAAAGAUUUCAAUGGUUAAUUUAAAAUUGCUUAUCCGGAGGAAUUCCAGACUAAAAAUAAUCUUACCCUGAAUAAUUCCAACUUCCUUGAG